AGCAAAUGCUCUGGAGCCCUGAACUACGCGGGAAGGGGGGGGGCGCGCCCUUACAGUCAGUGGUGCUGUCUCAGUGAGCAGGCUUGAAGAAUGAAUACAGUUUUUCAGAUUACUGAUGGAAUCAAGAAAGCUGACCCUUUGGCUACCAGAACUGAGAAGAGACCCUCUAUGGGCCACGUGAUUCCACACACAAACUAGCAGUUGUCAAGACAAUACUUGAAACAUUUAGUUACAUAUUGGAAUUUGAGAUGAGUGCUGCCCUAAAGUAAUUGCACCUUCUUUGAAUGCAUGCUUAGCUACAACCAUAAAAUUAUUUUGUCUGCUUUAAAAUGUGCCUUCUCUCCUUUACAUGUAGAAGAAAGAUAAAUUAUAGAUGCUACUUGUUACAAAGCACUGCAGUGAGGUAGUUUGUGUGUAUCCACCAUGGAAACCAAG
rnacentral:lncRNA from 1 species